rnacentral:rRNA from 1 species
GACUCCUACGGGAGGCAGCAGUAGGGAAUAUUGCACAAUGGGCGCAAGCCUGAUGCAGCCAUGCCGCGUGUAUGAAGAAGGCCUUCGGGUUGUAAAGUUCUUUCGGUGGUGAGGAAGGUUAGGAUGUUAAUAGCAUACUGAUUUGACGUUAGCCACAGAAGAAGCACCGGCUAACUCCGUGCCAGCAGCCGCGGUAAUA